AUGAACGCUGGCGGCGUGCCUAAUCCCUGCAAGUCGAGCGAACGGACGAGAAGCUUGCUUCUCUGAUGUUAGCGGCGGACGGGGGAGUAACACGUGGAUAACCUACCUAUAAGACUGGGAUAACUUCGGGAAACCGGAGCUAAUACCGGAUAAUAUUUUGAACCGCAUGGUUCAAAAGUGAAAGACGGUCUUGCUGUCACUUAUAGAUGGAUCCGCGCUGCAUUAGCUAGUUGGUAAGGUAACGGCUUACCAAGGCAACGAUGCAUAGCCGACCUGAGAGGGUGAUCGGCCACACUGGAACUGAGACACGGUCCAGACUCCUACGGGAGGCAGCAGUAGGGAAUCUUCCGCAAUGGGCGAAAGCCUGACGGAGCAACGCCGCGUGAGUGAUGAAGGUCUUCGGAUCGUAAAACUCUGUUAUUAGGGAAGAACAUAUGUGUAAGUAACUGUGCACAUCUUGACGGUACCUAAUCAGAAAGCCACGGCUAACUACGUG
rnacentral:rRNA from 1 species